GGUUUCAGUUUCUGCAUCAUGAAAUGGAGGUGACAGUUCCUAUCUUGCUGACUUCAUUUGAAUAUUUAAAGAUCAAAUGAAAUAUUGUUAUGUGAAAGGGUGCUACCACUAUGCUAUGAAAGGUAAGAUAUUAUUAUUUUAAAUGGCAAGACUGUAGGUCACCAAGUCCCCUUUGAAACAUUGAGAUCCCAAGUUCAUCUGCUUCAGCACAUUUUUCCUGUGCACCUUCCUGGGCCAGGCUCUCAUGGGGACACAGAGGGUAGUCCAUGCCUUCAAGGAGACCCAACCAAGAGACAGUGUCCCAAAGCCAGUGGUUGCUGCAGGACAGCCGGGCUGCUGUGCGGGGAAAUCUGUGAGGCUGUGCUGAGGUCGGCCCUUCCCUCCUGUGCUGUCACCAUCUGUCUGCAGUGUCUGCCUCUCCCCUGGGCCAGGCGCUUCCCAGGUUCGGGAACCUCAUCACUCUGCCCCAGUGCGGUCCCGGCUCGGCAUAGCAGCUCCGUCAACAGUGGACUGACCAAUGGAUGAGUACAGUAGAGUCACAGACGAAGAGCUGUGGGAGCACUGAGAAGAGAAUGGUAAAUUGGGAAGGUUGAGAGGAGCUGAUGUUGCGGCUGGACCUGAGAUGAUGAGUUCAAUUCUGCCAGCUAGAGAGGAAAGAGAGGGGCGUCCAGGCAGAAGCUACAGCCUGGGUGAAGGCCUGGAGGCAGGGACAACGCUGAUUCGAGGAUCCCGGAACCUAGCAUGAGACCUGGUACAGGGAAGAUGUCAGAAAAAGCUUAUUGACUUCCUCAAGGUGAGAAAGCCGGCCCCCACCACCCGAUUAUUUCUUCGUGCAGUCUCAGCUGACGGGGACGGCAGUCUCCAGUUAGGUCAGUCCUCUUCCCCCACUCCCUUCAGUGAGGUUUUCUCCUACAUUUGUAAUACAGCCUGCAUCCCAUCCUGGGAUUUCUCGACUUCUCGGUUGAUUUCUUAAAUGUGAUUUCUAUACCUUAAGAUUCACUCUUGGUGGGUUUUGACAAAUGCACAGUGUCGUGUAUGCACCACUAUGGUACCGUAUAGAUUGUUUCCACCGCCCUAAAGAAUUCCCUGGGCUCUCCCUCCCUAAAUCCCUGACAACUUCCUAUCUGAUCUGUUUCCCAUUCCUAUAUUUUAUCCUUUUCUAUGAAUGGAAUCAUAUAGGAUAUGGCUUUUUUGCUCUGGCUUCUUUCCCUUAGCAAAAUUCAUCCAUAUGUUGUGUGUGAAUUAAUAGCUCGUUUCUCUUUAUUUCUG
rnacentral:lncRNA from 1 species